UCUCCUUUCAAACUACGAUGAACAUGUGGAGAUGACUUCGCUUGACAGCGAUGAAGACACAGUGUUUGAAACAAGAAAUCUGAGGCGAUGAUGUGGGACCCGGGGCUCGAUCUGCACAGACAGAUCCAGAAGGUGCAUGCCCAGCUGCAGGAUCGCCUCGCCAAUUUUCGGGGGUUAUUUUGUCCUAACUGCUUAAAAUGACUGCUAAUUAACAGCACGAAAUGUUCUUGCUGGGGGCAGGGCAGUGUAACCCUGUCUCCCCCUCUCCCGUGCGCCUUGUGUAGGGGAAGGUGGAGUGACAGGAGCCCUGCAGCAUGGGGACCAAUCAUGGGAAAACUUUAAAACUCUUCAUAACAAACGUGUGACUCUCUCAGGUGGAUUGAACAUAUGGGACCUGAGUGUUUGAGCCUUGUCUUCUGGCUUGGGGAUUCUAAUGAAUAUCCCACCUCCAUUCAUUCCCCACCCUCUACUAAGUAGGGCAGUUGAGCUGAAGUGCUGUUGGGGAGUUGGGUUCUUUCACUUGCCAUGUCAGUAUAUGGUCACUUCUUUAUUAAUAGACUCUGUACCUGGCUGUGUCCAGUGCGAUCAGUCAGGAGGGAUCCUCUUGCUUGCUGAGGGGUGGGUGCUAUGUUCAGUUAGCGUGGGCAGCUGGGAGGAUAGCUCAGGGACCAGUGCGUCUGGGGCAGCGGUGUUCUGGCUGUUGCUAUUAGUGCUCACCCAGCAGCUCGGAGGUGGAAAUCGUGCCAUGGCAAUACAGGUUGUUACCCCUUUUGGAAAAGGAAAGAUGGCACUUGACUAGGAGAGCAUUUCUCUGAAGCACCAGCAGUGACUAGUGCGUGCUUGCUGCGAGAUCAGCGAAGCGUCAGGGAACAGCAGCAAACCAAAGGACCUGCAAGCGUCACCUGCACCGCAGAAAUGUUCGAUAGUUGCCCAGCUGCUGGACUUGGAGGGCUGUGAUCACACGUGGAAGGAUUAGCUGAGGACCGUGCUCCAAGCCAGAGGGUCUUGCUCCCUGUGCGAUUGUGACGUGUUCAAAGAGGAGGAAUAACCCUGAGGAGGAGCUGAUGCCGGAUCCCUGUGCACUAUCGAUCUUAACCUGAGGCAGCUCUGCUUCAACAGGAACCCCUCCUUGAGGGAGGGCCGUAGCGCUGGUGGUGUUAGGACUCUGGACUGCGCCAGGUCAUCUGCCCAGCGGACUGCAGGGGAAUCAUUUGUACCACUGAGGGUGGUUGUGGGUCCUGUGGUGAUGGUGGGUGGGGAGUAUUUGAAUGUAUUACAAACGUGCAGCCCACCUCUCUGGCAGCACGGUGGGAACUAGGCUGGAAUGAUCCUGCUUACAGCACGCUUUCUUAGCACAUGGCUUCCGCCCCUGCGUGGGCAGCCAGUGGGGUGACACUGGUCUUGGGCAAUGGAGGGCAGGACGGUCUUGCAAGCCUUAACAUGCUCCCUCACUUGUGAAGGAGGAGUGCCUUUGUUAUAGGAAGCCAAGAGGAGUCAUCCUGCUGGCAGGAGUUCCCUGGCUGGGGAGGCGCAGCUGUGAGGCCAGACUGCGGUGUUAGGUGUGUCCAUUAAGCAUCUGUGGGAAGGGAAGCCCUGGAAACAGGAUGUUAGCUUCUAGCUGGCAACGAUUUCUCCUUGUUGAAGAGAGAGAAACUGGCAAUUAGGAAAGGAGCUCUUCCUCCUUCAGCAGCGCUGCGUGGCUUUGUACCAGCCACACGGCAGUGGAGAGCUGUUGCCCUGGGAGCACCAUGCUCUUGGGGUUCAUCUACACAAGGCCUAGUACCUCGCCACUGUAGGCAAGGCACCCCUCUCCAUCCCUCCCUGCACGCCUUGGGGAGGCACAGACACCCUUUGGGUUUAGCAGCAAAAGUAUUUGUGGAAAUGCCUUCCCAGGGAGACAUGCCAGUGCCUCGGCCUGCCCCAACCUCAGCUCCUUUUUAUCCUUUAAUGCUCAGUUUAAGCACUUUUUCCUUGCUGAUUUGCUGCAUUACGGUCAGCUGCCAUGGUCCAAGCCCCUCCUGCCCUGCAGGUCAUGCCCUCAGCUAGCUGAUUUUGAUUCAUCAGCUGCAUUACCUCUGCGCUCUGUAACAGGAGCUGACAUUUCCCUUAACUCUUCAGCCCCCAGCACGAACCUAAUUUCCCCUAAAGCUUGAUUUGCAGAGCCCUGAAGUCAGACAGUUUACUUCAAUCCUCUUAGCCAACCUGUGUGGCUCAGCAUUUUUGCCGUCAUGCUCAUUGGACUUCCAUUAGCUGCAAGUGAGGCAUUUUUUUUUUUUUAUCCUUUAAGCUCUUGUUCCUAGUUGGACCAAGGGAGUCGGCAAGCUUUGAUUUUCCUGGGUUUGUUGGAAUGGAUGAUUCCAAGAAAAUAAUGAUUGUGUAUUUUAACAUGUGGAUGAUUUAAUGAUUCUGGUGGAAGUAAAGGGGACCUAUUUUUUUUUUUAAAGUAUGUAUUUGUAAUGAUUCCAAUACCAGACAGAAGCGCCCGUUCUGGCAGCAGUGUGGGGUGUCUUGUGUUUGGGAUGUGCAAUUGGGGUGGAGGGCUUGCACCUACAAUGAAUGCCACCUGCAAGGGACCAGUUUAAUGGUGCGUGGUAGGCUGAAUUAAUUAAGGAAGAGUCCUCGUGCUUUCCCAGUAUAGAGGGGCACCCAAUACCUGAAUACUGCUUAAGCCCUCUGCGCAGGGGUGUUUCUAGGGGUGCCAAAGGGACCAGGAGAAAAGCCUCUUCAUCGCUUUUAAUCUAACCAUGCUUCGGGUAGAGAAGGUUCUGACCCUUUGCUGCUCCACGGUGGAAGCUAUUCCCUCUUCUUCCCUCCCCUUUAAUCAUAGGAGCUCAUUUUACAUUCUGCCUCUUCGGAGACAGUUUCUCAACCUGGGUUUGCUCCCAGCUGGCCAAGAUUAUCCUCUGCCAUUCCUGCUCUCUCAGACAUUUGGUUGCUUUAAAUCAUUGUUAAUGCAUCUUGUGGGAGAAAUAAAUGAAGAAUGCUGACAA